GACAGAGGUGCCGAGCGUUAGGCGGAAUCACUGGGCUUAAAGCGUGUGUAGGCGGAUCGUUAAGUACCUUGUGAAAUCCCACGGCUUAACCGUGGAACUGCUUGGUAUACUGGCGAUCUUGAGCCACCUAGGGGCAACCGGAACAAAUGGUGGAGCGGUGAAAUGCGUAGAUAUCAUUUGGAACGCCAAUGGUGAAAACAGGUUGCUGGGGGUGUGCUGACGCUGAGACACGAAAGCCAGGGGAGCGAACGGG
rnacentral:rRNA from 1 species